AGAUAGGUCAAGGUCACAGUCUCCUCAGACAGACUUAAGGCUUUCGCCUACAGUAUUCUAACUAAAUACGCAGAUUGCCUGUGGUCAAUGGAUUACCCCUAUAAUUGUCUUUAAGUCAGAGGUCAAAUUCAAAGUGACCUCAAGACAGAAAAUGGUUUCCACCCUAUAACUAAAUGAAUACUCGGCCUACAGUCCUCAAACUUUAUAGUAUGAUUGCCUAUAGUCAGUAGAUGGCCCUUAUUGUUUUAAGGGUCAUUAUGUAAAAGACGAAGCAUACAACAUUACAUACCACUUGCCUCUUAUAGGUCAACACUGGGGGGCAUAUGUGCUUUACAAACGGCUCUUGUUUUAUUCUUUUAUUCCCAUUACAUAACAUUAUAAGUAACUGUACCAUGCAGAGCAAAAAAUCUUCAUACAAGACACAUUUAGUACUUGUAUUCAACCAAGACUGGAGAGUGGCAAAUAACUUUGUUUGUGACAAAGAUAUCUUAAUGAAAUUUUGCUGAACUGUCUGUUGGCCAUGGAGGGUAAAUAAUUUCACAGAACAUGUCCAGUAGGCCAGAGGGUUAGAGGGUUUCAGAGAACUUUACCAGUAGGACUAGUGGGUAAGUUAUUUAAGAUAGCUUAUCGAGUAGCCUAUGGAGGGUUAGUUGUAACAGACCAUAGAGAUCACCUCAGAUUUUAAGUGUCUCAAGAGAAGUCCUUCUUGACAGAUUUCAGUAUUACACAACAAAUGAAAACUACAUAUACACAUAUAUAUAUAUAUAUAUAUAUCUUAUAUUCUUUAUUCAGAAAUAUAAAUAAUCUUAACAAUACUAUCUAUAUCUAACUUUUAUCAAGAUGUCUUAUUCCCAUGUGUAUGAAUUUACAAAUGAAUAUACAUAUACAAUUAACAGAAAUGUACAUGAAAUAAAGUCUUGUGUCAUGGAAAAAAUCCACUCACUGAAAAAAGCCUAAUAAACUUUUAAGUAAAUAUAUUUUGAUCAUUUGACAGUUUCCAGGUAGCAGAAAUUAUUUGUAUUUCAAUUUUUAAACAGAUUACAACAACAAUGUAGAACAGUAUACAGUAAAAUUGGAAAAUUUCGUAAAAUAAAUGAUCCAUGAAGCUCGGGCUUUGUUAUAGGUAUAAUCACAGUUUAAAAUAAUGCCAUAAACUGCUAAAUAAUUUUGAAAAUAUUUUCAAAAGGGAGUGCCUUGUAAGACCAGCAAAAAUUUGAUUGUUUUCUACUUAAAUUUUAUAUCUAGACUUUACUUAUUCAUUAAAAUUCUGACUUUGUUGCUGUACACUUGUUCUAUGAACAGUAACUGUUAUUAUCUUGACUUUAUAAUGGUUACGAAAUCAGAGGAAGCCCUCUAACAGUUGAGGUCAACAUGUAAUGUCAAGGUCAUGUUGUGUAAAUCAAUGACACAACAUUUAAAGUCUGUGAUAUUAUAUCAUCUAGGUCAAUUAUACAAUGUCAGGUCAAUCAUGUAAUGUCAAGGUAAUAUACUGUAAAUCAAAAGUCAAGGUCAUUAUGAUGUAAAUCACAUUCAAACCUUGAAAAGUCAAGGCGAUAAUAUAUUGUCAGUCAUAAGAUGUAAGUCACAAUCAUAAAAUGCCAUGUAUGAAGUAAAGAUAAUACUAUAUUAAGUCGGUCGUUUGGAUGUAAGUCUCAAGUCAUAAAAAAUGAAGUCAUAAAAAAAGUUCAUAAUGUAUAAAGUCUUGGUAAUAAAUUGAGGCAGUCAUACAAUGCAUAUCAAAGACUUGAGAUGUAAAUCUGAGGUCAUAAUGUGUAAAGUCAAUGUCAUGAUGUGUAAAGUCAAGGUCAUAUGAUAUUAAGCAAGUUCUAUAAUAAUUAAGGUCAUAAGUUGUUAAGACAAGGUCAAAUAAUAAAGUCAAGAUUUAAGAAAAGUCAGGGUUUUUUCAUCCAACUGUUUCCAAAUAUGAAGCUACCUGAGCCAUUACUUGUGUUAUUCGAGAUAAAAUCAAUGACGUAUCGGUGUAAAGAACAUAUUUACAGACCCUGCUGCAUUUCUGAACUUCCUUUAAGUAAUGGUGUUGCACAAAUUUGAUUUUUUACCAUCUACAUAAUGCAAAUAUUUACAGCAUCCUUAGAACAAACAGUGUAUCUUCAAAUUAGAUAAUUUCCUAUUUUCAUUUUUACAAAACCCUUCACCAUCAACAGUCACUUGAAAAGCUGCAUACAAAAAAAAAUCAAAUGAUUUUGACAGUAAAGGCAGUUUGCAUUCAAAUUAUCGCAAAAUCAUCUCGUCUUCAAAAUCAUACACAUAUUUUAAAAGUAAAUGUUAUUGUGUAAAAUUAAAAAAAGAAAA